AUAUAAAAAGAAACGUUAAAAAGAAACGUAAGACUCACCUAAAAAUCGUUCGUAGCCCGUAACGUCUUCUCUUUCGGUAAAGAGAAAGAGUGAGAAGAAAAAACUGUAAGGAAACGACCCAAUUUCAAUCACGUAGAAAUUCCAUGAACCACGAACGAAAGCCCUGAAAACUUCUUUGCCGAAAUUUCGACGCGAAAUGCGUGAGCGAUGAGAAAAUUUUCGACAAAACCUACACUGAUUCGUCACUCUCGAAUCUUCUUCGAACGUCCGCCAUCUUUGAUAGCUUUCUCUCUUCGAUUCUCCCUUUGUCGAAAUCACCAAGUAAACACAUUAGCGUCUUGCCGGAAUACUCAAGAUAAUACAAUAAAUGCAAGAGCACGAUAACAAAGUCAGCGACGCCGCUCUUCGGGGUAAUAGUCAGUCAUUCGGAAUGUCGAUUAUAAGCGCAGAAAAAAACAGAAUUAAGAUGAAAACAAUUGAAGAAAAUAAUCGAGUCAAGAAAAAAAAAGCAAUAGUAAACGGUAUUCGGAACGCAACGACCAAGGUAGUCGAUGACGUAUCGUCAUCGUCUCGUAAUCGAACACAUACGCCCGUUUUCUUCAACGCGGUUCACUGCAUAAACUUCGUUUAUCUUCAAAAUAUUAGGUCGAGUCAUAAGUAUCUGAUUAGGUAACAGCACAGUUAAACGGAUUUUACGCAUUGAACCGCGUCGAAGAAAACGGGCGUUAAAGUCAUAACAAACAAUCCAUUGUGCAUCAAGUAUAUCCUCAGUAACAUUCACCAAUAACUAGAAGCCAUUCCAAGUCCUGUCACCUUGUAACAGAAGUUACCGACAGAAGGACAAGGGUCUGUCAUAACCUCAAAAAGAUUGUUAGAAAAGCGAUAAUUCCCCAGUCACUACAAUAUAAAAAUUUUCCUCGGUACUACCAACCACCACCAUACCCAAUACGGUCAGGACAGUGGAUGUACACCGGCUCUUACUUGUAUUACGAUUAGACAUCAGUACCCGACAAGAAUUCACCGUCGAACCAAACAAACCCGGUCAUUGAUACUCCAACUAGCUGUAUAGCGCACCUAACCUAAAAAAAGAAGCCCGCGGCACGAAGAAUCCAGGUGAACGCAAAGUUGUUGGACAAUUGAAAAGUGAAUUCCCAAUCGCAUCGAUUGCUAUUACCAAACUAUUGACGGAAUCCAAACGAAAAUUCACAGAGAGAAGUCCGUGCGAAGUAUCUAAGAAGUGAAGUGAGCCUUCGUCGUACGAAGAGAAGUGAAGAGUGCCGAGAGUCGAUGUAUAUAUUGUGUGUUCUGUGUGUGUAUGUUUAUAUGGCGCACGGUAGACCCCGUCGAGGUCCGCGGCGCGGCUCGGGGCCAGAGGAAAGAGACUCCGGUCUCCGAAGUGCAGCGUUCGUGCCAGGCUGCGCGGCCUGGUACCGCAGAACGGAGAACGCUCGCUUCGGAGUACAUGGUCCGUGUCUUUACCUACUUGGCAAGCCGGGAGCGCGCACAGCCUCGCAGCCGAGGCUGCGUUGAGCACGUAGAAUUCUAUGAGAACGUAAAACGGACGCUAACGAUAAUCCCUCUAUCCAGUGUACCACAUCCUUUUCUCUUGCUGUGUCUGUCCCGUCUCGAUCCUUUGCACUUGGUAAACGGUUCGUAUACCGAGUGCUGAUGCCCUCACGUAUGCAACGGGUGGCGUUCGUAAUGAUGACCCUGUUCUAAUAUCAUUGAUCUGACGGAAACUCGAGUUAAAUACGAAUUAUCGAGCUUGACCGUUGGCAACCUUUAUUGGAGAUUAUUGACAAUUCUUAAUGGUUACGUAAUGACGGACUGAAACGUUUUUUUUUAGACGCGAUCGAUUUGGAUUAAUUUUUUUUUUAUGUCAACCAUAUACGGUGUGACGUAAGUACGAAAUAGUGGGCGAGGAAGAUCGUAUGGUUACCGGAGACAUAUUUAAUGGUGAUGAAAAAUAAAUGUAUUUUUGAAAUAUUCACGAAAAAAUAAUUUUCUCGAGAAUUAUACCGCGUGGCAAGAUUUUCUGGAAAUUAAUUUCACAGAUACCUACGGGCUCUUACGGAGUUGUGAACGCGGCUUCAUGAUUUUCCCUUCGCCACACCAUCAAUUGAUCAUUAGUUUCUUCGAGGUCCGCGCAUGCACUCACGUAGCCAAAAGGCUUUCUUGAAUAGCGAACCGCAACCAGGCGAACAAUGUGUGACGUGGCCUUCGCCGAUACAAUCGAUCGAAUUAUUUAUCAUACUUGAUCGAGUCCUAGCCAACGACCAUCCUUACUCAUCCACGGCGAUGAAACGCGAACCGUGACGGCGUCGAGUGUGAAAAGAAUUCAACUCUUGUGCGAGUUGGCAACAAGGAGACAUGGUAGAAGGAAAAAAGAUAUUUAAAAAAAGGAAGAAAAGAAAAAGAAAAACCGUCUCGCAUCGUCGCGAGUCGACGAUUUAAUGACCUCAGUGAAUGAUGAAUCAGCAUGCCUGCCGCUAAUUACCUUAAAUCUAAUUUCACUCGCGACGUACAGAAAUUGAUCAGCGAGUAAAAACACCUAUUUUACAUACAUGCGUUCCAGACGCAUGUCGAUAAACGUCGUAACUAAAAAAAAAAAUGCCUGAAGCAAAAAAAGGUCAAAAUCGAAUACAUAGGUCUAAAAUUACAAAUUUUAAUUUGACAUCUUCCAUCUGCGAAUUCCGUGUAAAAGAUUAGCGCCUUAAGGUCAGCGUAUAAUCGCGCGAUGAUUUGACGCGUUAGAAUGAAGAAUACGUACGAUAAUUUAUGUACGCCUAAGAGAAAAACAUAAUGGGGGAAACAUAAAAUAAUUAAAGAAAAAAAAAAAAAAUGUCAGAAACAUCGUACGUAUACACACACAUAAUAUAUCUAACGACAGUCAUGUGACGACAACCGUCGUUGUUUUUUUUUUUCAUUCCUGAAUCUCGUUAUGAACGGUACCUUAAGAGCUCAAACUGUUCCGUGCAUAUUAAAGUCGUCAGUGGCGUUAUAAGGUAGAAGUGCCGCUAAUAAGAGGAAGUGGACGGUGUCCAUUCUGUGAUGGCUGGAAUUAAAAUAACCUUAUAAUAAGUCUCGUAAGCGCGUCGCAACAUGGCGGCCGGCAUCGUCCUCGCCGUGGACGCCACCACGAUUACCCUCGGGCACUAAAGUACGACGCAAGAACCACAAGCCAAGAUCAGACCGUGCGUAGUAUCGCGAAUUGAAAUCGAAGCGAGCCAGUAGAGUCAGGUCAAUGACAUAAAUUCGAGGUAUAAAAAAAUAAUUGACCAUUGGCCACGUUGCGUACUGGCAAUAAAUUCCACAAAAAUUGGCGGGCUCUUUGAAUACGAAAUUAUGCACGACACAAGGUAAAUGACUGUACAACGAGUAAAAUACGCAUUUUUGGUUAUAGCUCGAUGGAAAAUAAAUAUUGAGAAACUCUGCAGUGUCCUUUUUCAAGAACAAAGGAUCCACUUUGAACUAAGUGCACAGUAUAGAGGAACAACGUUGGGUGAGAGCAUUUGAACACUCCGAGUGAAUCCUGAGUCAAAGAGGCGGAAGCAGUAAAGGUCGAAAGAGAAUUGAGUUACAGAAGAAAGGGAGUUCGGCGAGAUGAGAUCGAGUGCCGAAGGCAUUAAGGAAUCUUCUCCCGGAGUAGGAGUGGGUCACCGGCUCACAGUAGUAUUAUGGAUACACGCUAUACAAGGAGUUGCCCAUAGCUGUAAUGAACGUGCAUAAAUUGUGAGCCACCCUAUAUAUGGGUAAGAGGUAUGAACCGCCACGAACAAGUCAUAGCUGACAGUCUAACGAAAGAGCCGGAGUCAGCGAAUUCCUGGGCAGGGGGUACGGGAGACAUCCUCGAGGCCAGAUAAACGAAUACGGAGGUAACCUGCCAACUGUUGGGUAUACCUGUACAAUGUAUGGUCAUAUAUUAAUAACUAGGCGUAUUCACAUAGAUGCAACGAGAGCAUACGGUUAUUACCGAUUACGACCGAUCGCGAUCGGACGGGCAUGGCUGAACGUUAACGAGCUUUUGACGAUCCGGUCGCUAUCGAAAUUACCCAGAACCACCGGGGACUGUCUUAUUACGUUACAAGGAAGACCCGGGACUAGCUCUGAGAAAUCCAAGCAAUUUUCGUCUUGAGGAUUGAACGGCGCCUGGGAUCCGGGGGUCUUUUAUCUAUGGCAAAUCGUUCGCGUAAGACCCCUGGGAACGGUAACUCUCAUCUGCAGAAGUGUUUCAUGGAAAUCCAUCCGGGAAUAGAGUCUAACUGUUA